rnacentral:rRNA from 1 species
CCUACGGGCGGCUGCAGUGAGGAAUAUUGGUCAAUGGACGGAAGUCUGAACCAGCCAUGCCGCGUGAAGGAAGACUGCCCUAUGGGUUGUAAACUUCUUUUAUACGGGGAUAAACCUAUCUUUGCGAAGAUAGCUGAAGGUACCGUAUGAAUAAGCAUCGGCUAACUCCGUGCCAGCAGCCGCGGUAAUACGGAGGAUGCGAGCGUUAUCCGGAUUUAUUGGGUUUAAAGGGUGCGUAGGCGGACAAAUAAGUCAGUGGUGAAAUCACUCAGCUUAACUGAGUAACUGCCAUUGAUACUGUUAGUCUAGAAUGUAAAUGGAGUAGGCGGAAUGAAUCAUGUAGAGGUGACAUUCAUAGAUAUGAUUCAGAACACCGAUCGCGAAGGCAGCUUGCUAAGAUACAAUUGACGCUGAGGCACGAAAGCGUGGGUAGCAAACAGGCUUAGAUACCCCAGUAGUC